AUUGAACGCUGGCGGCAGGCCUAACACAUGCAAGUCGAACGAGUGGCGGACGGGUGAGUAAUGUCUGGGAAACUGCCUGAUGGAGGGGGAUAACUACUGGAAACGGUAGCUAAUACCGCAUACCAUCGGAUGUGCCCAGAUGGGAUUAGCUAGUAGGUGGGGUAAUGGCUCACCGAGGCGACGAUCCCUAGCUGGUCUGAGAGGAUGACAAGCCAAACUGGAACUUAGACACGGACCAGACUACUACGGGAGGCAGCAGUGGGGAAUAUUGCACAAUGGGCGCAAGCCUGAUGCAGCCAUGCCGCGUGUAUGAAGAAGGCCUUCGGGUUGUAAAGUACUUUCAGCGGGGAGGCGUUACCCGAAGAAGAAGCACCGGCUAACUCCGUGCCAGCAGCCGCGGUAAUUC
rnacentral:rRNA from 1 species